AUGGUAGUGUGGAGCUUCUCCAUGUGAGAGUAGGUCAUCGUCAAGA
rnacentral:rRNA from 1 species